AUGAACGCUGGCGGCGUGCCUAAUACAUGCAAGUCGAGCGAACAGACGAGAGUGCUUGCACUCUCUGACGUUAGCGGCGGACGGGUGAGUAACACGUGGGUAGCCUACCUAUAAGACUGGGAUAACUUCGGGAAACCGGAGCUAAUACCGGAUAAUAUUUAGCUUCGCAUGAAGCAAUAGUGAAAGACGGUUCUGCUGUCACUUAUAGAUGGACCCGCGGUGUAUUAGCUAGUUGGUGAGGUAACGGCUCACCAAGGCAACGAUACAUAGCCGACCUGAGAGGGUGAUCGGCCACACUGGGACUGAGACACGGCCCAGACUCCUACGGGAGGCAGCAGUAGGGAAUCUUCCGCAAUGGACGAAAGUCUGACGGAGCAAUGCCGCGUGAGUGAAGAAGGUUUUCGGAUCGUAAAACUCUGUUGUAAGGGAAGAACAAGUACGUUAGUAACUGAACGUACCUUGACGGUACCUUACCAGAAAGCCACGGCUAACUACGUG
rnacentral:rRNA from 1 species